rnacentral:lncRNA from 1 species
UGGGUGGUAGGGACAGUGUUCCCUGAAAUGGUGGCUGUUCUUAAAGGCACCGGAGAGUGGGGUGGCUGGUCAGUGGUUGGGACAUGAACCAAGAGAAGUUAAGAGGACGGAUGGACUUGGUUCCCCAAACAAAAUUUGAAGGAAAACCAGGGCUCCAAGGCAUUAGACCUCUCCUUUAGACGUGUGAAAGGAUUUUAAUCUGAAAUGGAACUGAGCAUAUGAAACGAAGAAUCACAUGCAUGCACCUUCAGAAGAAAGAAACUUAAGAAUGGAGGGAAUGUCCAAAAACUACCUGAUCUAUGGAAGACUUAGACUUAUCUCUUGACCAGUGAACACGCACCAGGAAUCUCUCCCCAUCCUCAAGCCAGUGAACUUACAGCUUGGCCUCUAUCUGGGUUUCCCCCUCUUCACACUUCCUGCCCUUAAACACAGCCGACCCCAACCCUUCAAUGACUGGCCUGUAGCACUAAUGCAUGAACUGCCUAAUGCAAUUCUUCUGCUAUUCCAGAAAAAUUCAAGUUGUGGUAAUAGGAGCUUGCUUCAGUCUACUUCUCGAUUUAGGUUGACUGUCUUCAUUCAUGAGCUUAGAUUCAUCUUUCUUUCCUCUGAAUUCUCCAUCCUGUGACUCAAACUUAGUCCGGGCAGUAUUGCCAUGGCCCUAACAGGGUCAGAACAAAUUAUCUUCUGAAGAUUUAAAAGACUUCCUGCACAAUUUUAACAUGUAGUAAGUGGUUAAUUGAUGCUCAAAUUGGUCAGAGACUUUUCGGUUUAUGCUUCUGUUUUGCCAUUUGGGCUCAGCAAUCUCCAGUCAGCACGCUUCACCCUUGUUUUACAGCUGACAUUGUCUUAACCACAAUUUCAAGGGUUAUUUCUCCCCUUCUUUUUCUUUAACUGCUUUUGGAUUUUGUUUUCUUGAAUGGCUUCUUUUUUCAUGAAAGUGUUUUCUCAGGGAGAGAGUCCUUUUUGAAAUGAUACCUACCUUCUAGUGCAAAGCGUCUCUGUGUCUGUUCAACAAAGCGUCUCCUGUUUUUUAUUCUAAAACCCCACUCUUGUGCCAAGGACCCAUUAAUCAUACCCAAAGGAGUACAAAAGGUCCUGGUUGACCACCUGUCACCUAAUCUUCCUCAGGCAUGAACUGGGAGAAACCCGAUCAUGUGGUGAGAUGAGUCAAGUUUGGUUCCGAAUGCAUCGCCAGUUCUUUUAAAGACGAUUUUAUUUUGAGGCAGGAGCGUUACAGACGUGCAUUAGGAUUUUUGUUUUCCCAGCCUCCUGGGUAAAAAAAAAAAAAAUCUUGAUUUUUGAGACAUUGUAUAUUUUUGUUUUGCAACAAAAUAAUUGAUAGUAACUUUAUAAUGUUUCUUAAAGAUUGCAAAAUAUCAUUUUCUCCAAGGGGUUUUGGAAAUGGGAGUCCUAUAUCAUCAUCAUCACCAUCAUCGCUAUUAGUGGUGGUGGUGUAUUAAGGUAGGGAACAGAGGCCACUAAAAAUGAAAUUUCCAACCAUGCAGUCUUCAUUAAAAUACAGCUAUCUAUGUCUUAUCAGACCUGGUCAGCCCAAUGCAUUUCUAAUCUCUGGCUACUGCUCCAUCUUGCUCCCUUUAUUACUGGCCUAGGAAAACAUAGGGCUCAAUAAUUUGUAAAUGCAGUUGCAAUCCCUAAGAGAGAUAGGUCUGGAACUAGUUUUAGCAUAAGAAGAAAAUCACUGUGUGCUUUUCCUUAGGUUCCUAGAUUGCACGGUUGAUUUAACUCCACACAUAAACAGCUUAUCCACAUUUGUAGAUAUUAUUAUCAACUGAAUUCAGUUUAGCAAAAUACGCCUUUAUGGAGGUAGGGAGCUGGAGGGUGGGGGGAGCUGGCUUUUCCGAUUGCAAGACCUGAGCUGAUCUGGCUUCAGAGCCUGACUGCCUGUGGCCUUGGCCUCACUCCAAUGAAUUCUCUGGUGCCCGGGUUCUUCACAUGCAAAGUGGAGAUAACAAUGCUCCCGGCAUUACAGGUUUAUGAAGAGGAUCGGAUCCUGUCUGUAAAGUGCUUGGGAACUUGCCUGCCUCUUCGGGACCCCUUCAUAAAGGUCAAUCAAGUGGAUGAUCAUUCCUGCCCUGGCCAAGUGUCCAAGCUUCCAGAUGUUGAAAUGUUGGAAAUGUAAGAGCUCCGACAUCAAUGCAUUGAUUGACAAAAACAUCUCCCAGGAAAGAAACAGGUGGUCACACAGAGGGGGAGCCUGAUACAGGUAACCCUCAGUGGAAAAGUCAAGCCCAAGUGAUUCCUGACCAUUGAAGCUAUGAUGCCUUCAUUCAGAAAAUUGCAUAUCUGAGAUACCAAACAGAAAGCUUUGAAAAAAAUGAACAGAAGCCUCAAUUACAUCCAAUGGGGAGACCGGAAGGGGGAGCUCUCACACCCUGGGAUCAUUGCAGAGCUUAACAGGAAGAGGAAGUCCUAGCAGAUCCUAGCAGAGCUUAACAGGAAGAGAAGUCCUUUCCUGGCAAGGACUUAGUCAAUGAAAAGCCAUGAACUCUGUUUAUAUUCAUUUUCCUCUCUGUAAAAUUGUUUUCCUUCCUUUGUUUCGGGGGUCUUGUGCAUGGCUCAACAUGGUUGCAGAACCUGCACUGCAAUUCUCUGCUGUUCCCUCUUUGCUGGAGAAAUAGCCGCAAGUCUUUUGUUUCAAGUCAACAGCCUAGAGAGUUUUUACUGAGUGUAAAAUGUGACAGGCUCUCACGACUUCCAAAAUCUGCACAUUGCCCUCCAUGCUGGGGCUGGAUUGCGGAAGACAGGUUAACACAAGUGAAAGAGAGCCAGGGAUUUUUAUUGGACUGAAAACAGUGGGCCAAUAUAGCUGCACCAAAGGUUUGUGGUGCAGAGAUGUGUCCUGAUGUCCUGGGACCAGACCCAAGAUAGCUGCCCCCUCCAUGUUAGUGUGCCUGGACCGUGACCGCUCCAUUAUGGUCUCAAUUCGUCAUCAGGAGCCAAAGCCACCUCUGUGCUAACCAGGUCCCUCAGAUACCACUUGGCCCACAUUGGUUCAGCCUGAGUGCAUGAAAAAGGCAUCCAUCAAUAUUUACCUAAUGAAUGAGUGAAGGUGUGAGGUGGAAAUUUCUAGAAGACUCUUCAGAAAACUCACGAGAACCCAUGAGUCUGAAAUUGAAGUAAGUAUGAUUUCAAAAGGAAAGAUAUCUUAGUAGCAGAGAAAAUCACGUGGAGAAAUGUCUAUAUACUACAGAGAAUGAGGCCACAUCUCGAGGACGUUAGCCCACAUUUUAUACGAGAUAUUGGGUAUUUCGGGAAGAAGCAACACGGUGAACUGCCUAGAAACAAAAUCAUAGGAGUAUUGCAAAGUAGAAAAAAGUAUAAGACUGCUAUGUGUCAGGAAGUAAAUUGGACUCAAUUUUAAAAAUUAAAAGUUAUUGGGAGCAAAAGUCAUCCCAGCAUUUCUUGUUUUUUAAUGAUUAAAAUGGUCAAAAAGUGAGAAAAUAUAUUUUCCAUCAUUAGAUGUAAUUAAAUGAAGAUUCUUUGCUCCAUGUUCGGGAUUUAUGCUUUAGUUGAAGAAUUAAGCUAAUGUUUUCCAAGUGUCCUUUUAGUUCUGGCAUUUUGUGAUCUGGUGUGGGUCUAAUCCGCAGACAUACACAUGUAGGAAGAAGUCUGAGAAAGACCACCCGCUUCCAUGUUCAGCCCUGGAAACUGUGAGCCCGAUGGAACACCAGCCCCGACCAUGCUGGUGCAAGGCAUCGUUAUCCUUAAAACAGGGAGAUUAGCUGGGUGGUCCACGUCUAAUCAGAAAAGCCCUUAAGAGCAGAGAACUUGCUCUAGCUGUUCUAGAGCAAGAAGACAGGGGCAGAAGAAGUCAUGCAUUCAAAGCACUGAAAGGAUCUGACUCUAACCUUGAACAUGGCCACAUGAGAAGGAAUAUGGGCGACAUCUAGGAGCAGAGUGUGAUUUCCAGGUGAUGGCCAGCACGGUAUUGGGGACCUCAAACCUCUAACUGCAAGGAACAGAUUCUGCCAACAAUUGGAAUAAGCCCGGAAGCCUACUGUUCCCGGAUAGGUUCCCAGGAGGAUGGAGACAGACUGCUCCACCCGGCAAAUGUCGCGGUUCACUUUGGAGACCUGCCGUGGACGUGGGUACAGCCCAGCACAAAUCUAUGCACUUUCACGGAAUGUAGAUGCUCAAGUUGGGCAGCAAGAAACAAUGGCCUGUGGAAAACAACUGUCUGCAUAAAUUAACCACCUACAAGGAUUAGCUGUCCUUGGUCACGGUCACGGACUCAACCCCCUACCCCUCCCUUGACCUUCCCCUCCUCCUUCUUCAUCGUUCCUGGUCCAGGUUCCUGCCAUGAACUCCAUCUAGCCACAGAUUCCCACCAUAGAUCCUUUAUAAGCCUAGCACCUCCUCACAGUCAGGGCUGGGGCCAUCUUGAACUCAGCCUGUCCCCUCUGAUGCCUUAAUAAAUCUCUCUGGCUUUCCCAACUUGGCCUUGGACGUUCCUCCCUCGGCAAACCUAAUACUCCCCAGAAUCUCCCCCGAAGUGCACACCUGCCAAAAUCUUGAUUUUAGCUCAUGAGCCUGGGAGUAGAGCCAGUCAAGCCCCCCUGAAACGCUGACCUACAAAAGUGAAAAAAACCGAGAGAGUGAAUGAAUGUGAUUUUAGCCACCAAGUCUGUGGUAUUUGGCAAGAGAAAACUAAGACAGCAAGCUUGUGGUUGUUCAAUUCCUAAAUGAAUUAAGACCUUUUGAAUGAAUCGUCAUUUCUGAAACAUAGACUAUUUAUCCAUCUUAUGUGUUGUGUCGUAUAUUAUUUAGGUAUUUUGGGUUUUGGCUUUUGUUUCUGUUUUUUUGUUUUGUUUUGUUUUGUUUUGUUUUUGUUUUUGUCUUCUGAAAGCCAGUUCAUUCAUGUAUAUAUUUUAAGAAGUAAAACACAGUAAUUGUGUUAACUGGAUUUUUUCCUAACUUGUUAUGAUUUGGGGUUAUAUUAUUUUCAUUAUUAGCAGGACAAAAUCAGAACUAUGGCCCUGCACAAUCCUAUUUGGUUUAGUCCAUUCUUUCUAAAACUGCAAAGGAUUAUUUCUUCAGAAAGUUCAGGCAUAUUCAAACAUGGUGAAAUAAUAUUUCAAAUCACAAUAUCAUUUCAUUUUGGGCAUUUUGGGUGGAAACAGCUUAUCAAAAUUUUUCAUGCCUUCAGUUCACAGAUUCUUGAUUUGUCCAUGCUAGUUGUAAAGUGAUUCUGUUGUGCCUACCACAUCCUUCUCAAAAAAGAAAAA